rnacentral:rRNA from 1 species
AUUGAACGCUGGCGGAAUGCUUUACACAUGCAAGUCGAACGGCAGCACGGACUUCGGUCUGGUGGCGAGUGGCGAACGGGUGAGUAAUACAUCGGAACGUGCCCAGUCGUGGGGGAUAACGUAGCGAAAGCUACGCUAAUACCGCAUACGAUCUAAGGAUCAAAGCGGGGAAUCGCAAGACCUCGCGCGAUUGGAGCGGCCGAUGGCAGAUUAGGUAGUUGGUAGGGUAAAGGCCUACCAAGCCGACGAUCUGUAGCUGGUCUGAGAGGACGACCAGCCACACUGGGACUGAGACACGGCCCAGACUCCUACGGGAGGCAGCAGUGGGGAAUUUUGGACAAUGGACGCAAGUCUGAUCCAGCCAUUCCGCGUGCAGGAUGAAGGCCCUCGGGUUGUAAACUGCUUUUGUACAGAACGAAAAGGCUCUGGUUAAUACCUGGGGCUCAUGACGGUACUGUAAGAAUAAGCACCGGCUAACUACGUGCCAGCCGCCGCAGUAA